UCUCCUGUGACGCAGUGGUUAGCGUGUCGUUCUUAUACGUCGAAUCCUUCAGGAUCGAGUAUGACCUACUGAGGUAUGCGAAAGUCGCCGGUUCAAUCCCGGCCAGGAGAA